rnacentral:lncRNA from 1 species
CCAGGAGCAGGUGAGGACCAGUGACAGCCCUUUGUAACUUUUGUACCCAUUCUUUAAGGUAAUGGAGUCAGUUAGAUAACUACAAACGGAGAGAGAUACGUAUGCUGAAAAUCUGAAAGGAGGGAGGGCCAUGUGGUGUCAGAGGAAGCAACAGAUGUCGGAGCAGGUGUGCACAUUGAGAGAGGAGAAGGAGGAUAGCAUGAGUUGGGUAUAAGAACAGUAGAUGAGCUUGGCUGAACAGGGCCCUCCAAGGUGGAGCAGCAGCUACAAGCAGAGGCUGACCACCUGCAGAAGGAGCUGGAGAGUCUGGCAGCUCCGAGCCCAGGAGCAAGACACUGAGGGCUUCAGUCACCCGAACCAGGAGUAGGAGGAGAGGCUGCUGGAGCUGGAGCAGGUGGCCGAGCUCUUGCGGGAGCAGGCAGAGUCACGCAGGCAAAUCCUGGAGACCAUGCAGAACAAAUGCACCACCAUCAGCCACGUGCUCACCCAGAACCACAAGCUCAAAGAGCAGCUGUCUCCGCUGCAGAACGGAUUCAUAAAGCUGGUGCCACGGGAGGCAGACACCAAGUUCUGGGGUCUCCAGCUGCAGUGGGUGGCCGCCAAUUGCUUCUCUCUGUCCAGACUAAUGAGAACAUGGAGAUCACCAGUGCACUGCAGUUGGAAUAGCACGUAAAGAGGGAGCUGGGAAAGAAGCUGGGCAAGCUAAAGGACAUGGUAACCCUGCCCCAUCCAAGAAGAGCUGGAAGGCGGGCACCAGCCUCUGGGGAGGGGAGGUGUGAAGCCAGAGGCAGCUCCAGCCUGGGGGACAGGUGACCCCAGCACCCUCCAGGGCAGUCCUGUGACUGUUUCUUGCUUCCCGCCCUCUGACAUUUAGUGGUGGGUUCGUUCUUCCUAGGUCUGGACAUCAUCAUCCCAGCUGGAGUCAUGGAGCCUCCCAAACAUAGGGAAAGAGAUGGUGGUAUAAGAGGUUCCUUAGAGUCAAACUAGAUUCCGGCCUUGGCUCCACUGGUCACCUACUUUUCAUCUCUAAGUCUCGGUUUCUUUAACUUAAAAGGGAAGUUAGCACCUUCCUCUUGGAGGUGCUGAGGAUUAAAUGAGAUAAUACGUGGAAAGCAUUAGGCAUGUAGCACAGUUAGCAGAUGGUGGUUGGCUCCCUCUGCUUUUCCAUCAGUCUGUGGCCUAGUUUAAAUGGUGGGAGGAAGGGUGUGAGAUUUAAGGCUGGUUGUAAGGGAUCAGUCAGUGUAGUUGGAAAAAUUGUAAGAUGAAGUUAUAGGAUAUAGACACAAACCUUCCUGGAAGGCCAGAAAGUCUGCAUAGCUUCAAUAAAGGAUUUGGCUGAAAGCAGCGUAAUCCCCUUUACCUUGAGUUGAUAGCAAUAGAGCAAAUAACAUGGGAACGUGGGGGAGUUUAUUGAAUAGCUUGUUUACUCAUGUGGUCCUAAGACCAACCUUUGAUUAUCCACGGGUGCAUGAUUGCUCUCUACUCGGUGGUCGGCAAAUUUAAUUACCCACAGGUGUGUUGACUCAAAGCCUCUGUCAUUAAAUCUAUGCUGAAUAAAUGCCGUCAGGGCCAGCUAGUCAAGGUGCACAACUCUUUUUGUGCGUGGUGUGGCCCCUUAGCUGCUCUGUCACUGAAUAUUGGUGUCUGAGUAUGUUAUUCAUCUGCCGUGCAACUGGGGUUUGCAGGACAGACCCCUGCAAGUGGUGUCCCGCGUGAGGCACACUGUGAAGGAUCACAACGGACCCCUCGAAAACAAAGGUGAAAAGAACUGCACAGUCAAUAAGUCAGUAAGUCAUUGAUGCCCGCUCGGAAUUUCCAAGUUUGGCGGGGAUUGUUCAGGCUAGGGUUUCAUCAUGGGACAACAGUUAUCAGCUCAACAGGAACAGUAUAUAAAAGUAUUGAAGCAGCUGCUUAAAACUAGUGGAGCCUCAUUUUCACAGGCUCAAUUAAGGGACCUAAUGCAAACUGUUGUCUCACAUAACCCAUAGUUCCCAGAAAAAGGAACGCUAGACGUAGAGCUCUGGGAACAAGUGGGGAGAAAUCUUAAUCAGCAUCAUGUGCAAGGGCAAUGGGUCCCAGUAUCAUCUUUAAUGCUAUGGGCCUUAGUCAGGGCAGCCCUGGCUCCAUUAUACACAGAAGAGCCUAAAAAGGGGAAGGAGGAGGAACCGUCACCUGCUUUACCACCUCCUUUUCCCUCAGCCCCAAUAUCGCCAGGCCAAAAUAACAAAGAGGAAAUGGAGGUUUUGCCUGAGCCCCCUCCUCCAAUAAAUAGGAAAAAAGACAAGAGCUAUGCUACAGCUAUGGGA